rnacentral:lncRNA from 1 species
UGCGCGCGCUCGCGUCCUGCCGGGAAGUGUAGUUCGCAGUCGAGGUGCGCGGGGCCGGGACCUGAAAAGGUGGGAGCCGGGCGGCGUGGCAGGGCCUGGAGGAGGCGCCCGCUGCCGCCUCCGCGCCCACGUGCGCGCUCCUGCCCCUCCACCCCGCCCCCUCCGGGACAGAUGCCUCACUGGGUAGGUCAAGUCACCGCUCUGAGCCUCACUCUCCUCCCCCGUGAAAUGGGGAUCGGAUACAGCCCACGGGCUUGCAGUGAGCACGGAAUGAGAUAAUAGAUAGGAGGCAAGGGUUGUGAAAUACGCCUGGGCUUUGGAGUCAGACGGGUUUGAAUUCAGCCCGCAUCCCUCGCUGGGCCAUCUAGGGCAAGUCACUUGUAUGACUAAGCUUCGGCUUAGAUAUGGAGAUAAUAGCACCUACUUCAGGAGCAUUUUGUGAGGAUGAUAUUACAUAAUCUAUUUAAAACGCGUAGCACACAGCAGGCACCUAGUAAGUGUGUUUUCUCUACGUUUCUCAGGUUAAAGGCGAGGUUUCCCCUGGAACUCUGAGCUUCAUCUCUGGUUACCAGUUCUUUACAGGGAUCCACUCAGCACCCUACCCCGCAGCGUCCAGCUUGAAGGGUCUAAGGAGGCAAGACCAGUCCUGUUUCUUCCCCUCAGGCACCAAGAGGGAAAAGUCCAAAGCAGCCACCGAACAAAUCAGAAUCCUCGACUUUUACCUAAAGAAAACCUGUGACAUGCUCUCUAGUCACCUGGUGGACUUAAGGGCCUUGCUGUGCAAACUGCCCCCCCCCACCCUACCCCCGACACAGAGGGCACCCUGGAAAAUGUAAACACCUGGGCUUCCUAGCUUUCUUACCUGACCUCUAUAGGAGGAGUGAAACUGGGGGGCUGGGGAGACGAGCCUGAGGACAGCCCACCCUGUCUGACCACUGUGCCUGCCGUGAAGAGAAGCAAUGCUAUAUAUGACAGUCACAGCUGAAACCGCAGAACAUAUUCUGGUCUCCCUACAAGGAUCUGCAGUGGGACUGUUCCUCCUCACCUUCUAAGCUUCCAGUACUUUGUGGUGGAAAACAGUAUUUGCUGAUUUUUAUGACCAUUGUGAUGCCCAAUGUGUUAGUCCUUCAGUUGUGUCCAACUCUAUGACCCCAUGGACUGUGGCCCACUAGGCUCCUCUGUCCAGGGGAUUCUCCAGGCAAGAAUACUGGAG